GAUGAACGCUAGCUACAGGCUUAACACAUGCAAGUCGAGGGACCGGCGCACGGGUGAGUAACACGUAUCCAACCUGCCCUUUACUCGGGGAUAGCCUUUCGAAAGAAAGAUUAAUACCCGAUAUAAAGGAUGGGGAUGCGUUCCAUUAGGUUGUUGGUGAGGUAAGGGCUCACCAAGCCUGCCAUGGAUAGGGGUGCUGAGAGGAAGGCACACCAGAUUGGAACUGCGGCACGGUCCAAACUCGUACGCGAGGCAGGAGUGAGGAAUAUUGUGCAAUGGGCGCGAGCCGGAACCAGCCGAGUAGCGUAAAGGAUGAAGGCUUAUGGGUCGUAAACUUCUUUUAAAUAAGAAUAGGUAUUAUAUGAAUAAGGAUCGGCUAACUCCGUGCCAGCAGCCGCGGUAAUUC
rnacentral:rRNA from 1 species